rnacentral:rRNA from 1 species
AGCGCGGUGGACCCACCUGAACCCAUGCCGAACUCAGAAGUGAAACGCCGUAGCGCCGAUGGUAGUGUGGGGUCUCCCCAUGCGAGAGUAGGACACUGCCAGGC